GUGAAUUUUUGUCGCUUGAGCUUGCUCAGCGUCUUCACAUCCAUAACACCUGUGCACUGUUGGAUGAUACAAGGUCUCUGUGCCUUGUUCAUCCACCUUUACAUCAAACACAAUGUAACAAAUGUAGUCUUAUUAUAACAUAAUA
rnacentral:misc_RNA from 1 species